AGGAGUGGAGGGCAGCCUAAGUUCGCCGCGUCCUGCGGCAACGGCUGCAUGACUAACAUCGUGUGAG
rnacentral:sRNA from 1 species